AUUGAACGCUGGCGGCAGGCUUAACACAUGCAAGUCGAGCGGGGGAAGGUAGCUUGCUACCUAACCUAGCGGCGGACGGGUGAGUAAUGCUUAGGAAUCUGCCUAUUAGUGGGGGACAACAUUUCGAAAGGGAUGCUAAUACCGCAUACGCCCUAAGGGGGAAAGCAGGGGAGGUUCGGACCUUGCGCUAAUAGAUGAGCCGAAGUCGGGGUAGCUAGUUGGUGGGGUAAAGGCCUACCAAGGCGACGAUCUGUAGCGGAUCUGAGAGGAUGGUCCGCCACACUGGGACUGAGACACGGCCCAGACUCCUACGGGAGGCAGCAGUGGGGAAUAUUGGACAAUGGGGGGAACCCUGAUCCAGCCAUGCCGCGUGUGUGAAGAAGGCCUUUUGGUUGUAAAGCACUUUAAGCGAGGAGGAGGCUACCGAGAUUAAUACUCUUGGAUAGUGGACGUUACUCGCAGAAUAAGCACCGGCUAACUCUGUGCCAGCCGCCGCAGUAAUAC
rnacentral:rRNA from 1 species